CCACAGGCCACUGAGCACAGCACCACAGGCCACUGAGCACAGCACCACAGGCCACAGAGUACAGCACCACAGGUCACUGAGCACAGCCCCACAGGUCACUGAGUACAGCACCACAGGUCACUGAGCACAGCACCACAGAUCACUGAGUACAGCACCACAGGCCACUGAGCGCAGCACCACAGAUCACUGAGUACAGCACCACAGGCCACAGAGUACAGCACCACAGGUCACUGAGUACAGCACCACAGGUCACUGAGUACAGCACCACAGGUCACUGAGUACAGCACCACAGGUCACUGAGCACAGCACCACAGGUCACUGAGCACAGCACCACAGGUCACAGAGUACAGCACCACAGGUCACUGAGUACAGCACCACAGGUCACUGAGUACAGCACCACAGGUCACUGAGCACAGCCCCACAGGUCACUGAGCACAACCCCACAGGUCACUGAGCACAGCACCACAGGCCACAGCGUGAGCCCCCGGGGGAAACCCACAAGCCCGUCCUCUCCCUUGGCCCUGGUGCUCCACACACCUGUUGGUGUGUUUCAUCUUGCUUUGCUCCCCU